GAACGGGAUUUAGUAAACAGAAGCCUCGGCGGAAGAUUACUAAUGAGAGUGGCGAACGGGUGAGUAACGCGUGAGCAACCUGCCUAUGACAGUGGGAUAGCCUCGGGAAACCGGGAUUAAUACCGCAUAAAAUCGUAGAAACACAUGUUUUAACGGUCAAAGAUUUAUCGGUCAUAGAUGGGCUCGCGUCUGAUUAGCUAGUUGGUGAGAUAACAGCCCACCAAGGCGACGAUCAGUAGCCGGUCUGAGAGGAUGAACGGCCACAUUGGAACUGAGACACGGUCCAAACUCCUACGGGAGGCAGCAGUGGGGAAUAUUGCACAAUGGGGGAAACCCUGAUGCAGCGACGCCGCGUGAACGAAGAAGGUAUUCGUAUCGUAAAGUUCUGUCCUAUGGGAAGAUAAUGACAGUACCAUAGAAGAAAGCUCCGGCUAAAUACGUGCCAACAGCCGCGGUAAUACGUAUGGAGCGAGCGUUGUCCGGAAUUAUUGGGCGUAAAGGGUACGCAGGCGGUUUAAUCAGUCGAAUGUUAAAGAUCGGGGCUCAACCCCGUAAAGCAUUGGAAACUGAUAAACUUGAGUAGUGGAGAGGAAAGUGGAAUUCCUAGUGUAGUGGUGAAAUACGUAGAUAUUAGGAGGAAUACCGGUAGCGAAGGCGACUUUCUGGACACAAACUGACGCUGAGGUACGAAAGCGUGGGGAGCAAACAG
rnacentral:rRNA from 2 species